GGGAACGCUGGUGGGAAAUUUUGCAAAAUGGUCUGAAAUUUAAAUAAUAUUUAAAGUCUGGCUUUGGCCAGUUUGUGGAACACCCAAGUUUCUUCUUGUCUUUGGACCUUCGCAUAUAUUACGCUUUCUCCUACCUGGGAGCUGUAGAAUAGUGGAUUAGGUGGAUGGUAUUCCUGUGCAAGGGAGGCUUUCACUUUUCAUUUUGUACUAAUUUUACUCAUGUGCUACUGAAUAUAUUAACAGAGAUUAUUAAGGAGCUGCCUGUGGAUGACUUAAAGAGGAAUUUAUUUAACCAAAGGAUACUGGCUAAGUCUCAGAAGAAGAACCAUGCUUGGAAAAGAGGGAAAAACAAAAGGAGACAGGGCAUAUGUAACAACUGCCAAAAUCACUCCACGCAGCAGCUCAUCAUGGACUCCACUGUCAUUACUGCUGAAGGCUGGGAUCCACAGAAGACAGCAGACCUUCAAGCAACACAGAAUUCCAGAGUCAGCAUCAGCAGCAGUGCCAGACUUGGAGAUAAAGAGCAACAUUUUUGAGAGAAGGGAGAAUGAAGCUUGAUGGCCCAAAGCUACAAAAAUUCACCACACAGCCUCUAAUCUGGAACUGCAAGAACCUUAGUCCUCCAUGGAGCCCAUUUGAAAACUGAAGUGAAGUGAGCUCCUAUGGAAGCUUAAAGGAAAGCAUAUGAAAAUCCAUUUUAAUCUAUGACAUGUUCUUCAAAUAUGGGUAUGAUCCUGAAGAGUAUCCAGCAUAGAAAUGGACACACAGAAGGCUCCUUUGAAUAAGAAGACCAAGUCUUUCCCUUCUUUACCACACCAUCAUUGUUUUCCAAGUGACACUCAGGCUCAAAUAAGACUUAGAAGACUUUUGGAUCAAAGGAAAGUGGUAAGUGAAGACUUCAAAUUUA